CCUUAGAGUUUGAUCCUGGCUCAGGAUGAACGCUAGCUACAGGCUUAACACAUGCAAGUCGAGGGGCAGCAUGACGAUAGCUUGCUAUUGUUGAUGGCGACCGGCGCACGGGUGAGUAACGCGUAUCCAACCUGCCCUUGUCCAUCGGAUAACCCGUCGAAAGGCGGCCUAACACGAUAUGCAGUUCUCAGCAGGCAUCUAACGAGAACGAAAUGUGAAGGAGAAGGAUGGGGAUGCGUCUGAUUAGCUUGUUGGCGGGGUAACGGCCCACCAAGGCAACGAUCAGUAGGGGUUCUGAGAGGAAGGUCCCCCACAUUGGAACUGAGACACGGUCCAAACUCCUACGGGAGGCAGCAGUGAGGAAUAUUGGUCAAUGGGCGAGAGCCUGAACCAGCCAAGUAGCGUGCAGGAAGAGGGCCCUAUGGGUUGUAAACUGCUUUUAUAUGGGGAUAAAGUGAGCUACGUGUAGUUUAUUGCAGGUACCAUAUGAAUAAGGACCGGCUAAUUCCGUGCCAGCAGCCGCGGUAAUACGGAAGGUCCAGGCGUUAUCCGGAUUUAUUGGGUUUAAAGGGAGCGUAGGCCGCCCCUUAAGCGUGUUGUGAAAUGCCGCGGCUCAACCGUGGCACUGCAGCGCGAACUGGGGGGCUUGAGUGCACGCAACGCAGGCGGAAUUCGUGGUGUAGCGGUGAAAUGCUUAGAUAUCACGAAGAACUCCGAUUGCGAAGGCAGCUUGCGGGAGUGCGACUGACGCUGAAGCUCGAAGGUGCGGGUAUCGAACAGGAUUAGAUACCCUGGUAGUCCGCACAGUAAACGAUGGAUGCCCGCUGUGUGUCUUAAUGGUACGCGGCCAAGCG
rnacentral:rRNA from 1 species